rnacentral:rRNA from 1 species
CCUACGGGUGGCAGCAGUGGGGGAUAUUGCACAAUGGGGGAAACCCUGAUGCAGCGACGCCGCGUGGGUGAAGAAGCGCCUCGGCGCGUAAAGCCCUGUCAGCAGGGAAGAAAAUGACGGUACCUGAAGAAGAAGCCCCGGCUAACUACGUGCCAGCAGCCGCGGUAAUACGUAGGGGGCAAGCGUUAUCCGGAUUUACUGGGUGUAAAGGGGGCGCAGACGGGGAUGCAAGCCAGGAGUGAAAGCCCGGGGCCCAACCCCGGGACUGCUCUUGGAACUGCGGGACUAGAGUGCAGGAGGGGCAGGCGGAAUGCCUGGUGUAGCGGUGAAAUGCGUAGAUAUCAGGAGGAACACCGAUGGCGAAGGCAGCCUGCUGGACUGCAACUGACGUUGAGGCCCGAAAGCGUGGGGAGCAAACAGGAUUAGAUACCCGAGUAGUC